UACGUAGGGUGCAGGCGUUAAUCGGAAUUACUGGGCGCAAAGCGCGCGUAGGCGGCUUUGCAAGUCGGGUGUGAAAUCCCCAGGCUUAACCUGGGAACUGCAUUCGAGACUGCAUUGCUAGAGUAUGGGAGAGGGAAGUGGAAUUUCAGGUGUAGCGGUGAAAUGCGUAGAUAUCUGAAGGAACAUCAGUGGCGAAAGCGACUUCCUGGACCAAUACUGACGCUCAUGUGCGAAAGCGUGGGGAGCAAACAGG
rnacentral:rRNA from 1 species